CUGCAUGGCUGUCGUCAGCUCGUGCUGUGAAGUGUUGGGUUAAGUCCCGCACGAGCGCAACCCUAUCAUCUGUUGCCAGCAUUUAAGGUGGGGACUCAGAUGAGACUGCCGGUGACAAACCGGAGGAAGGUGGGGACGACGUCAAGUCAUCAUGGCCCUUAUGUCCUGGGCUACACACGUGCUACAAUGGCCGGUACAGAAGUGAAGCGAAACCGCGAGGUGAAGCAAAACGCAAGAAAGCCGGUACUCAGUACGGAUUGGAGUCUGAAACUCGACUUCAUGAAGUUGGAAUCGCUAGUAAUCGCGCAUCAGCAUGGCGCGGUGAAUACGUUCCCGGGCCUU
rnacentral:rRNA from 1 species